ensembl:miRNA
AAAAUAAUUGCGGUUUUUGUCAUUGAAAGUAAUGGCAAAAACUGCAAUUACUUUUACA